rnacentral:lncRNA from 7 species
AGAAAGCUCCCUGCUCUGAGGACCGGUGCCAAGCAGAGAUACAAUGUUAGAAAGAGGAAACGUCAAUUCAGCGCUCUCAGACUUUUCACUGUUCUCAAGAGGUGAUUGUGCUAAUUCUUUCCUCUCACAAAUAUGUUCUUGGGCGAUCAAUCAAGAUGAACUUACAGAUGCCAUGAAGUCAUGAUGUUGAACAACCCCAACUCUACUUUCAGAAGUCAAAGAGGAUCUCAACAACACAGCUGGGGCUUGGACAAAAUUCUCUAGCAGCAGUCUGCAAAUUACAGUGAUUCCUUGAAGAGACAGAAAACAGGUUUGUUCUUUGUAUUAUUAAUGAACUCUAAAUUACUCCCACAUUCAUAACUGUUUUUAUGUGAUUUGUUCCAUUUUCCAGAUGACAAAUAUUGGCUGCUAAAGACACUUUACGAAGAUGAGCUUUGUUAAUUGCUAUGAAUGAGGCUUGAAUUUAACAUUAAUUAACUAUUUCUGCAGAGGGCUCAUCACAGCAAAAUCUACUGCACUUGUGUAAACUUAUAUUUAACAUCCCGUGGCAAAUGCAUGCCUUUCAACAAUUGGUUUGCAGCUCUUGACAAAUGUUUCAAUUUGAUCCUGUGAGUUAUGAGUUCAGUCACUGCAUCAAAAAUAGCCAUGGUUUAGAUUUACAUAAAGACAAAUUACUCUUGAAGUACAUUUCCAGUCUUCUGGGAAUCAGCAUGUUUUCUUAAAAAGAUGAUCUUCCUCCAAUUUUUUCCUGAAUUUAUACAGUUUUAUAUAACAAGAGUAUUAAAAAUAUCCAUGAGGGCACCGCAAUCAUUCAUAUGUAAGAGAGUGAUGGAGUACAGGAAUUUGUUCCAAACCAGUGUAUCGCUCUCUGUGCCUUUUUUGGAUUAUGCUUACAUUUUCCAUCACUGGGAAAUAAUUGCUUACACUUGGGAUCCAUUCUUUCAUUGUGCCUGUCUGAAGCCCUCUGAUAUGAGGGUAAGCUUGGGCUGUGUGAAGAGUGCAGGAUCAGCCUUUUGUGACCAACAUAAUCAGCAGUUUUUUCCUUAGGAUGGAAGGUAGAUGUUCCCACUGUAAUCCUAAACAGCUUUAUUGUAGGUCAGCAGUAUCUCAUUAUGGUGUAUACUAGAAAAGACAAUGGCAUCUGUUGAUAAACCACCAGAACUUCCUCCUUCUUCCAACAGUACAAUAGCAAACCUUCAAAAAAUUGGCCAACUAAGAGAAUCAGGUGAAAAUAGCAGCAGCCCACAGUCAUCACAACUGUUCUCAGUUGGUGCUCUGAAAAGUGAGCUGGCUUCUGCAAUUGCUUGGAUCUUACUACAAAGACUGAUUCUCUAUUCCUGAACAUAUUGUACGGCCUCCUACUAUUUGUUAGGAUUUUAGUUUCCAUAUAUACAAACAAGUAGUUCCUUCUGCAAAUAUUUGAAAGCUGAGCUGAAAGAUGUGGUAAGCACUCCACUCUGCUUCUGGUAUGCAGUGAAAUGAUGCUUUAGGCGAUUUUGCUAUUGAAUAAAUGCUAGGGACAAUGCACCCAUCUAGCAUGAGCAUGAAAGGAGAAAAGACUAAGAGUACGAGUAAAAUUAAACUACCUGUGCAAU